rnacentral:lncRNA from 1 species
GGAGGUUAUACCCGGAGGUCUCGACGCUCGCUCGUGCUGCUCGUGUUGCCGCUGGGUACGUUUGCUGCCAGUGCUGAUCCAGCCGGAGGCGAAGAGAAGCACUUUGGGGGCAAAAGAGAGAAAAAUGAAGACGGGACAUUUUGAAAUAGUCACCAUGCUGCUGGCAACCAUGAUUCUAGUGGACAUUUUCCAGUGAAGGCUGAAGUGUUAGACAUGG